AAAACUUCAGAGAGGAAAAAAGAAAACCCCUCAUCCCCCCAUUUCCCCUGGCCGAACGGACCACCAUUGGCCCUGCCAUGUGCGGUGGUCAGAGGCUCCAAACGGUCAGUUUUUUAACCCCGUUUUAGGGAACGACUGAAGCCUAAAUCUUCAUGGCCUUAGGACCACGGAGCAAGACCCUAAACGCCACCUUCCUUACCCGACUUCAGUGACCCGAAGAAGGACUCCGGCGACGGAGCAAAUGGAGCGAUUCAAGUAAGUCCUACUUCCCCCCAUCUUUACUACUUUUAUUUACCUAAAUCAGUAAAAAAAACGAAAGAAAGAAAAGAGAAAGUAGAUCGGUCAAACCGAAAAGAAAAAAACCGUGAAUGUUCUUCAUUUUUUUAUUUCUUUCAGCCAAUCUCUGUUUUUUGUUACAAGAAUCGAAAAAAACUCCCUUUUACAGAUCUAAAGAUCGGUAUUUCCCAACCGAUCCCCUCGUUUCGCUUUUUACAAAUCGGCUUUAUAGCCAGAAACCUAAAUUUUUUCUAUUUGCUUCUGGUUCUGCCUCUUUUGUUGCGUGUUUGCAGGUAUUGAUGGAGAUGUGCGGCGCGGGUCAGAGGUAGGUGGAGGCAGCCGAUGGGACGUGCGACGCUAGGGCAAUGAUGGGACUGGUGGCGCACCUGCAGCAAAGACUAGGGUUUCAGAAAACUGAAACCCUAGUUUGACCAUUGGGUUCUUUUGGGCUGUUGGGCUUUAGGCUAUUGUGAGGGUUAGUUGGGUUAGUUUUAGGUGGGUUUGGCAUUUGGGCUUAUAAUAGGUUAUUUGAGCCCCGGGCAAAAUGGGCUUAUACAGUUGGUUAAAAGGCAUGUACCUACUAGGUUAAGUAAUGCUAGUUAAUGAAUUGGUUAGAUGAAUAGAAGUAAAUGAUGUUUAGGAGUGAUGUUUUAAAUAUAUAUGUUCUAUAACUCAAAUAUGGUUCUUUAGGAACUAUAUAUAUUUGGUCAAAAUUUGGUAAUGGAUUGAAUAUAAGUUAAAUAGAUUUAAAGUGCAAGUUUGAGAAAUUAGAUUUGUAAGAAUUGCAAGUGAUGAUGAGACGUCAAUAGUAAGUCGUCACGACGAGGAAUGGACCCAAGCCAC
rnacentral:lncRNA from 1 species